UACGGAGGGUGCAAGCGUUAUCCGGAUUCACUGGGUUUAAAGGGUGCGUAGGUGGGCUAGUAAGUCCGUGGUGAAAUCUCCAAGCUUAACUUGGAAACUGCCGUGGAUACUAUUAGUCUUGAAUAUUGUGGAGGUAAGCGGAAUAUGUCAUGUAGCGGUGAAAUGCUUAGAUAUGACAUAGAACACCGAUAGCGAAGGCAGCUUGCUACACAAUCAUUGACACUGAGGCACGAAAAGCGUGGGGGAUCAAA
rnacentral:rRNA from 1 species